UUGACCUCGGAUCAGGUAGGGAUACCCGCUGAACUUAAGCAUAUCAAUAAGCGGAGGAAAAGAAACCAACAGGGAUUGCCUCAGUAACGGCGAGUGAAGCGGCAAGAGCUCAAAUUUGAAAUCUGGCCCCUUCGGGGUCCGAGUUGUAAUUUGUAGAGGAUGCUUCGGGUGCGGCCCCCGUCUAAGUGCUCUGGAACGGGCCAUCGGAGAGGGUGAGAAUCCCGUCUGGGACGGGGUGUCCGCGUCCAUGUGAAGCUCCUUCGACGAGUCGAGUUGUUUGGGAAUGCAGCUCUAAAUGGGUGGUAAAUUUCAUCUAAAGCUAAAUACUGGCCGGAGACCGAUAGCGCACAAGUAGAGUGAUCGAAAGAUGAAAAGCACUUUGAAAAGAGAGUUAAACAGCACGUGAAAUUGUUGAAAGGGAAGCGCUUGCGACCAGACUCGCUUCCGGGGUUCAGCCGGCUUUCGGGCCGGUGUACUUCCCCGGGGGCGGGCCAGCGUCGGUUUGGGCGGCCGGUCAAAGGCCCCUGGAAUGUAACGCCCCUCGGGGCGCCUUAUAGCCAGGGGUGUCAUGCGGCCAGCCUGGACCGAGGAACGCGCU
rnacentral:rRNA from 1 species